UCCCGUCGCAGUCAUCUUCCCCCAUAGUCACCGCGACCGCCUCCACCGGCAAAGCUAAAUCUCGGUAAAAAUCUUCGUUCUGCAAGUGAACUUUGCGGCGUUUCUCAUUUAUAAAAUGUGGCAGUUCAAGAAGAUGUGGAGAAGGUAUAGAACAGGAGUCUUUUCUUGAUAUAGGCUUUAGCGGUGAUAACCGUGAUGGGUGUUGUGCUUUGAAAUGAGAUCCUAUUCUGCCCCAAAGUGGAGAGGGUGAAGGGCUGCAGAUAGAAAUGUUAUCUCCUGGAUUUCAAAUGGAAGCUGUUUGGAUUCCUGGAUAGCUGCCUGGACGAAAUGGAAAGGAAAAAUUCAGUCGUUUCAGCUUCUCUUUUGGGAUCCUUUAAGGUAAAAAGGCAACUGGGCAGGAGUAUAGCCUAGAGAAAGAGCCAGCCAAUUACAAAGCAUAAGAAGCUAUUACUGAAAGACUGCAGAAACCUACAUUAAUGGUUGCAUGAUUUUUUCCUGUAACCAAUCUCCUCUGCUGUUGACCGUUGAGGAAAAUUAAAAGAGUUCAAGUUGUUCUCCUAGAUAUGUCAACUUAUGGAUUUCAUGAAUCUGAGUUUCCUUGUAUGAUUAGGAUCUUCUGGACCUUAUUAGCUAGAGGCCUGUAUAUGGUGCUGGGGUUAAUAUCACGCUUAUUCUUUUCACAUGUAAUUCUAUACGUUAUUGUAAUUUGUCCAGGUAGUGGUUUUACUCGUUCUUAGGAGGCCUGGUCAGGCAUUCAAUUCUUUUUCUUAUUAAACAUUUGCUGAGGC